rnacentral:rRNA from 1 species
GACGAACGCUGGCGGCGUGCCUAAUACAUGCAAGUAGAACGCUGAAGAGAGGAGCUUGCUCUUCUUGGAUGAGUUGCGAACGGGUGAGUAACGCGUAGGUAACCUGCCUUGUAGCGGGGGAUAACUAUUGGAAACGAUAGCUAAUACCGCAUAACAAUGGAUGACACAUGUCAUUUAUUUGAAAGGGGCAAUUGCUCCACUACAAGAUGGACCUGCGUUGUAUUAGCUAGUAGGUGAGGUAAUGGCUCACCUAGGCGACGAUACAUAGCCGACCUGAGAGGGUGAUCGGCCACACUGGGACUGAGGCACGGCCCAGACUCCUACGGGAGGCAGCAGUAGGGAAUCUUCGGCAAUGGGGGCAACCCUGACCGAGCAACGCCGCGUGAGUGAAGAAGGUUUUCGGAUCGUAAAGCUCUGUUGUAAGUCAAGAACGGGUGUGAGAGUGGAAAGUUCACACUGUGACGGUAGCUUACCAGAAAGGGACGGCUAACUACGUGCCAGCAGCCGCGGUAAUACGUAGGUCCCGAGCGUUGUCCGGAUUUAUUGGGCGUAAAGCGAGCGCAGGCGGUUUGAUAAGUCUGAAGUUAAAGGCUGUGGCUCAACCAUAGUUCGCUUUGGAAACUGUCAAACUUGAGUGCAGAAGGGGAGAGUGGAAUUCCAUGUGUAGCGGUGAAAUGCGUAGAUAUAUGGAGGAACACCGGUGGCGAAAGCGGCUCUCUGGUCUGUAACUGACGCUGAGGCUCGAAAGCGUGGGGAGCGAACAGGAUUAGAUACCCUGGUAGUCCACGCCGUAAACGAUGAGUGCUAGGUGUUGGAUCCUUUCCGGGAUUCAGUGCCGCAGCUAACGCAUUAAGCACUCCGCCUGGGGAGUACGACCGCAAGGUUGAAACUCAAAGGAAUUGACGGGGGCCCGCACAAGCGGUGGAGCAUGUGGUUUAAUUCGAAGCAACGCGAAGAACCUUACCAGGUCUUGACAUCCCGAUGCUAUUUCUAGAGAUAGAAAGUUACUUCGGUACAUCGGUGACAGGUGGUGCAUGGUUGUCGUCAGCUCGUGUCGUGAGAUGUUGGGUUAAGUCCCGCAACGAGCGCAACCCCUAUUGUUAGUUGCCAUCAUUCAGUUGGGCACUCUAGCGAGACUGCCGGUAAUAAACCGGAGGAAGGUGGGGAUGACGUCAAAUCAUCAUGCCCCUUAUGACCUGGGCUACACACGUGCUACAAUGGUUGGUACAACGAGUUGCGAGUCGGUGACGGCGAGCUAAUCUCUUAAAGCCAAUCUCAGUUCGGAUUGUAGGCUGCAACUCGCCUACAUGAAGUCGGAAUCGCUAGUAAUCGCGGAUCAGCACGCCGCGGUGAAUACGUUCCCGGGCCUUGUACACACCGCCCGUCACACCACGAGAGUUUGUAACACCCGAAGUCGGUGAGGUAACCUUUUGGAGCCAGCCGCCUAAGGUGGGACAGAUGAUUGGGGUGAAGUCGUAACAAGGUAGCCGUAUCGGAAGG